UACGUAGGGCGCAAGCGUUGUCCGGAAUUAUUGGGCGUAAAGAGCUCGUAGGCGGCCUGUUACGUCUGCUGUGAAAUCCCGGGGCUUAACCCCGGGCGUGCAGUGGAUACGGGCAGGCUGGGAGGCAGGCAGGGGAGAACGGAAUUCCCGGUGUAGCGGUGAAAUGCGCAGAUAUCGGGGAGGAACACCGGUGGCGAAGGCGGUUCUCUGGGCCUGUACUGACGCUGAGGAGCGAAAGCGUGGGGAGCGAACAGG
rnacentral:rRNA from 1 species